AUUGAAAACAAAACAGAAUCACUGAGUAUCCUCAAAGAACUGAAAAGUAGCAAUGAGAUCGCAUCCUACAUAAUAUGGUGUGAUUUUGUAGUGACUGAAAUAAGAUCAAUUUUGAGACUUCUGGUAACUCUUAAUAGCCUUAGAAGUAAGGUGAAUACAUAUAAGUCAGAUAGAUGAUCAGAAAUCAGAAGGGUUGGAGACUAGCUAGGUAAGUGCAAUGGAUCAAGGGGCAACAAAAUUUAGGGGGUUGUUUGGAGAAUCACUGAAGUAGAUGACCAUGAAAUUUAGUCAUUAUUUAAUUAUUUUGGAUAAAUUUUGUUUCCCUAACUAAAUUUUACAUUACAUUUUUUUUGCUUUUUUUUUUUUUUAACAUAGGCACCAUAUCUUACAUUUCUGAAUUCCCUAAAACAUCCAGUAUAAUGGUUUCUAUGGCUAAAGAAUCCCUCUCCAAGUUCACCUACUAGUGAUAAUCUUCUUUGCACUCAAUUCAUUCUUCCUCAGAAAGUCAGUGAAUGAAUGAAAUUGGAAUAAUUUCUGAAGCUUUUUUAUAUGAUAGAAACUGUCAGAUGUUGUGCUCUGCCAAUCAUCCUUUUCAGUAGUUCAUUAUUAUUUUUUCUUUUUUGCACACAAGAAGAUAAUCCAGAGGUGAGAACCAAGUAUAAGGAAUGUGGUAAGCAUCAAAUAACACCAUGAAAAAGAAAUUGAUUUGAUUUUCAUAGAUAGGAAGUUACUCAUUACCAAGUCAGCUAUGAACAAGUACACUACCACAUUGGUAGGGUAAAUACUGAAAGUAAUACAAAACUAGGAGAAAAAAAAUAAAAAAUGUAAUAAAGGAUAGUGCAUAGAAUUAAAACAAGUCCAACUUAAUAUAUUCAAACAAGUUAUUGAUGCUGAAAAUGGAAAAUAGAUGAAGGGAACGACAUUGAUACUGAUUUCAUACAGAACUGAACAAGACAGCAAAGAGAGAGAGAGAGAGAGAGAGAGACAUCAAUGAGGAGGCCAAAAGAGCCUAGGAAUCACCUCUGCUGGCAAAUAUUUGGUCUUCUUAACAAAUGGAAAACUACAUCUAAUAAGAGCAGUGCCAGUUUAAGAUACAAAUUCAUUGGUAAAAUCUUAUUGAGAAGGAUAUUUAAAGAAUAUUAGCUAUAUUUCCUCCCAAAUCAGUGAGUAGCAUUAAGGGGAAAAAAAAUUUAAAGAAAAAUUGAUGAAAGUUGACUAAACAAAAUUAUCCUAUAGGUAUUCAAGGAUUAAAUUGGAAGGGGUUGAGACAAGAAAUUUUUAUAACAAAUUCUUUUGUUAUAUGUUGUUAAAUAAAAUGGAUAUGAUAUAGAAGAAAACAAAGGUGGAAAAAGCAGUUAAAUGAAAUCAAACAUACACAGAGGAGAGCUAUGGUAGAAGUGACAUAACUUUAAGGGCAUUAAAAGGUCAGUUUUCAAGAUAGAAGAAAGAGGCAAAGAUACCAAAAAUAGAGAAAAAAAUCUCAGACUUUACUUGAAAAAAUAAUCAAGGAGUCAUCAAAUAAAACUAACUUUAUUGUUACAUCUUUUGAGGUAUAUUUUGAAACAUUCAUUGGAUACACUGUUUUAUAAAUCUUCUGAUUAUUAAUAUCAGGUGAUAUAUUAUAUUGGUAGACAUAAGCUCAUAAAAGUUGUUCACCAUUGUCAUAGUGGAAGUCCAGAAAACAGAUUCUAAGCCCAAGAUGGAUUUCCUAAAUAUGUGAGAUCCUCUCCUUAUCCCUAUUUGUAAAUAACAUUAUGCUGAUUUUAUUAAACUCUGUAACAAUGGCAUCCAUAGUUACUUUAAAGAGUAUGACCUAAA